rnacentral:rRNA from 1 species
UACAGAGGCCUCGAGCGUUAGGCGGAAUCACUGGGCUUAAAGCGUGUGUAGGCGGACUUCUAAGUACCUUGUGAAAUCCCACGGCUCACCCGUGGAACUGCUGGGUAUACUGGUCGUCUUGAGCCUUCUAGGGGCUACCGGAACAAAUGGUGGAGCGGUGAAAUGCGUAGAUAUCAUUUGGAACGCCAAUGGUGAAAACAGGUAGCUGGGGAAGUGCUGACGCUGAGGAGCGAAAGUGUGGGGAGCGAACAGG